UCCUGGUUAACCCAGGCAGUCUCAUUAGAGUUCCCACCUUAAAUGUUGGCAACUAAUGAUAAGGGUUGCGCUCGUUGCGGGACUUAACCCAACACCUCACGGCACGAGCUGACGACAGCCAUGCAGCACCUACACAGCAGCCCUUGCGGGAAGUACCAUUUCUGGUAUUGUCUCCUGUAUUUCAAACCUGGGUAAGGUUCUUCGCGUUGCAUCGAAUUAAACCACAUGCUCCACUGCUUGUGCGGGCCCCCGUCAAUUCUUUUGAGUUUCACCCUUGCGAGCGUACUCCCCAGGCGGUAUACUUAUCGCGUUAGCUACGACACAGCCAGGGUUGAGCCCAGCUACAUCAAGUAUACAUCGUUUACGGCAAGGACUAC
rnacentral:misc_RNA from 1 species